CCUUCCACUGAGCCACGCUGCUUCUCUAAAAGCCAAGGGUCGCCAGAACCUGAAAGAUCAAGAAAGGAGGCCCAACGCCCCAGACAGAGCAGCAUCCGCGGGUGUCCAGGGGUCCAAAUCAUCAGCCUUGCUGCAAGACAGCUGCCUCGCUCCAUCCAACAUCCACAACGUGACUCUUUGGAUCAGGCAGAAAGGGUUUGGGGUAGGGCUGGGGAGAGAAGAGGCCACAUUUCAGGACUUCAGUGGAAUUGUUUUCCUCUAUCUGCCAGUGGCUGACCAGGAAAAUAAAAACAGAGCGAUUUCUUUCUGACA